rnacentral:lncRNA from 1 species
AGAGUUGUUAUGUGAAUUUUUUAUCAGUACAGAUUACUUCACAACUUUCGAUUCGUUGUAGAAGUGUUAUGUAAAGAGAAUACUUAUAUUCUUUCAGCUUAUAUAUAUAAUUGCUAUUACUUGCUGGGCACUCAAAUGCUCAUCCUUGCUUAAACUAAAUGUUUUCAGUUACGUACGAUCGACCUGAAGGCUCAGGCACGAACAAGGGAAAAGAAAAGCUGUUCGAAUGAGAAUUAGUAUGAGUUAAUGGUUAUAGUUAGUAAGACAAUGGAAUCUAUUGUCAGGUAUUGUAAGGAAUGUAUUUUGAAGGUCACGUACCUGGGAAAGUAAACUUUGAUGUAUGUAAAUUAAGUUCGAAUUAUAUUAUUAUUAUUAUUUAGUAUUAUUCAGCUUAAAGAAAUGGUAUCGUGGAGAACCGAGUUCGGGUUUCAAGUAUCCGGAUUUGGGGUCGCCACA